GUGCUUGCUUUGGCAACACAUAUAGCAAAAUUGGGACAAUAUAGAGAUUACUGUGGCUCCUGCACAAGGAUGACAUGCAAAUUUGUGAAGUGUUCCAUAUUAUU
rnacentral:snRNA from 1 species